UACGGAGGGUGCAAGCGUUAAUCGGAAUUACUGGGCGUAAAGCGUGCGCAGGCGGCUUGCCAAGUCAGAUGUGAAAGCCCCGGGCUCAACCCGGGAAUGGCGUUUGAAACUGGCAGGCUAGAGUUUGGCAGAGGGGGUGGAAUUCCACGUGUAGCAGUGAAAUGCGUAGAGAUGUGGAGGAACACCGAUGGCGAAGGCAGCCCCCUGGGCCAAAACUGACGCUCAGGCACGAAAGCGUGGGGAGCAAACAGG
rnacentral:rRNA from 1 species